CUACGGGCGGCUGCAGUGGGGAAUAUUGGACAAUGGGCGAAAGCCUGAUCCAGCCAUGCCGCGUGUGUGAAGAAGGCCUUCGGGUUGUAAAGCACUUUCAGUGGGGAAGAAAGCCUUGGGGCUAAUACCCUCGAGGAAGGACAUCACCCACAGAAGAAGCACCGGCUAACUCCGUGCCAGCAGCCGCGGUAAUACGGAGGGUGCGAGCGUUAAUCGGAAUUACUGGGCGUAAAGCGCGCGUAGGCGGUCUGAUAAGCCGGUUGUGAAAGCCCCGGGCUCAACCUGGGAACGGCAUCCGGAACUGUCAGGCUAGAGUGCAGGAGAGGAAGGUAGAAUUCCCGGUGUAGCGGUGAAAUGCGUAGAGAUCGGGAGGAAUACCAGUGGCGAAGGCGGCCUUCUGGACUGACACUGACGCUGAGGUGCGAAAGCGUGGGUAGCAAACAGGAUUAGAUACCCCAGAAGUC
rnacentral:rRNA from 1 species